CGUAGGGCGCAAGCGUUAUCCGGAAUUAUUGGGCGUAAAGAGCUCGUAGGCGGUUUGUCGCGUCUGCCGUGAAAGUCCGGGGCUCAACUCCGGAUCUGCGGUGGGUACGGGCAGACUAGAGUGAUGUAGGGGAGACUGGAAUACUUGGUGUAGCAGUGAAAUGCGUAGAUAUCAAGUGGAACACCAGUGGCGAAGGCGAGUCUCUGGACAUUUCCUGACGCUGAGGCACGAAAGCCAGGGGAGCAAACGGG
rnacentral:rRNA from 1 species